GGGAAUUUUGGGCAAUGGGCGAAAGCCUGACCCAGCAACGCCGCAUGAGGGAUGAAGUAUUUCGGUAUGUAAACCUCGAAAGAAUGGGAAGAAUGAAUGACGGUACCAUUUAUAAGCUCCGGCUAACUACGUGCCAGCAGCCGCGGUAAUACGUAGGGAGCAAGCGUUGUUCGGAUUUACUGGGCGUAAAGGGCGCGUAGGCGGCGCGGUAAGUCACUUGUGAAAUCUCUGAGCUUAACUCAGAACGGCCAAGUGAUACUGCUGUGCUAGAGUGCGGAAGAGGCAACCGGAAUUCUUGGUGUAGCGGUGAAAUGCGUAGAUAUCAAGAGGAACACCUGAGGCGAAGGCGGGUUGCUGGGCCGACACUGACGCUGAUGCGCGAAAGCCAGGGGAGCAAACG
rnacentral:rRNA from 1 species